AGGUGUAACGUCACGCAUCAGACCUCUGAUCAGGGAAGACCACCCGCUGAGUUUAAGCAUAUCAAUAAGCCCGGAAGAAA
rnacentral:rRNA from 1 species